GCCUGAGUGGCUCAGUUGGUUAAGCGUCUGACUUCGGAUCAGGUCAUGAUCUCAUGGUUUGUGGGUUUGAGCCCCGUGUUGGGCU
rnacentral:tRNA from 1 species